CUACGCAACAGCUCACAGCUGCCUGUGCAAUGAAAGCAAAGGCCAACUUCUCAGAGGGAAGAAGCAGGCUCCACACAGGAAGAUUAUGGCAGGGAUGCAGCUUCAUCGCUCGGCUCUUUGAAGAUGAUGACACUCGAAGAAUUGUUUGUCCCUCAGCUGGAUUGCAGAGAAAAGGACAGAACAGGGGUCCCCGGAAAACAUUUCCAUCUACGUUUCUGCUCUACGUAGUGCUUGUGUGCCUUAUGUCCAGUAAUGUGGAUGCAUGUGAGAUAUCGUUCUCGUCAGCUACUGUGGUUUCCGGCUUGCUUGCCGGAUGUUCUGCUGCUCCUCAGAAAUAUUGUCAGCUCUGUUCCAAGAGGAAGUGAGUAAGUUUUUUUUGUAGUAUGCAGAGUUAUGGAAGAGUCUAGACUUUAUGUGAAGAGUGUGAAGAGCCAAGUGAGCAUUCUUCCUGCCUGGAAGUGCAGUAUGAUGAGAAAGGAAGUCACAUCUUUGGAAACUAAGUGCAGCUCCUCAGUGCUGAGAGAGGAAAAAAAACUGCUGGCCUUCUCGGGACCGGCAGGAAGCAGUUUGCAGUCUCGCCCGGCAGCUCUUUUCUUUCAUCUGUGCCUGCGAACCCACUGCCAUCUGCUCUUUUGUGGCUCUGCUUCUGACUCCUACCGUGGCUUCUGGGGCUGUCCGCUUUGCUUUUUCAGAUACCUUGCGGGCCUUUUCCAGGCAUGCCUGAGGAUUUGAGGUGAGGUAGAAUGGGUGUCAUGGGAUUACUUUCAGUCAGGAUGUGGGAGUAUCGCUUUGGCGCGGUGCAGGUGAUGAAGGUGAGCAAAGGAAGAUUAGAGAGGAUGUGGC